rnacentral:rRNA from 1 species
UCGGUGUAGGAUGAGACUAUAUAGUAUCAGCUAGUUGGUAAGGUAAUGGCUUACCAAGGCUAUGACGCUUAACUGGUCUGAGAGGAUGAUCAGUCACACUGGAACUGAGACACGGUCCAGACUCCUACGGGAGGCAGCAGUAGGGAAUAUUGCGCAAUGGGGGAAACCCUGACGCAGCAACGCCGCGUGGAGGAUGACACUUUUCGGAGCGUAAACUCCUUUUCUUAGGGAAGAAUUCUGACGGUACCUAAGGAAUAAGCACCGGCUAACUCCGUGCCAGCAGCCGCGGUAAUACGGAGGGUGCAAGCGUUACUCGGAAUCACUGGGCGUAAAGGGCGCGUAGGCGGAUUAUCAAGUCUCUUGUGAAAUCUAAUGGCUUAACCAUUAAACUGCUUGGGAAACUGAUAGUCUAGAGUGAGGGAGAGGCAGAUGGAAUUGGUGGUGUAGGGGUAAAAUCCGUAGAUAUCACCAAGAAUACCCAUUGCGAAGGCGAUCUGCUGGAACUCAACUGACGCUAAGGCGCGAAAGCGUGGGGAGCAAACAGGAUUAGAUACCCUGGUAGUCCACGCCCUAAACGAUGUACACUAGUUGUUGGGAUGCUAGUCAUCUCAGUAAUGCAGCUAACGCAUUAAGUGUACCGCCUGGGGAGUACGGUCGCAAGAUUAAAACUCAAAGGAAUAGACGGGGACCCGCACAAGCGGUGGAGCAUGUGGUUUAAUUCGAAGAUACGCGAAGAACCUUACCUGGGCUUGAUAUCCUAAGAACCUUAUAGAGAUAUGAGGGUGCUAGCUUGCUAGAACUUAGAGACAGGUGCUGCACGGCUGUCGUCAGCUCGUGUCGUGAGAUGUUGGGUUAAGUCCCGCAACGAGCGCAACCCACGUAUUUAGUUGCUAACGGUUCGGCCGAGCACUCUAAAUAGACUGCCUUCGUAAGGAGGAGGAAGGUGUGGACGACGUCAAGUCAUCAUGGCCCUUAUGCCCAGGGCGACACACGUGCUACAAUGGCAUAUACAAUGAGACGCAAUACCGCGAGGUGGAGCAAAUCUAUAAAAUAUGUCCCAGUUCGGAUUGUUCUCUGCAACUCGAGAGCAUGAAGCCGGAAUCGCUAGUAAUCGUAGAUCAGCCAUGCUACGGUGAAUACGUUCCCGGGUCUUGUACUCACCGCCCGUCACACCAUGGGAGUUGAUUUCACUCGAAGCCGGAAUACUAAACUAGUUACCGUCCACAGUGGAAUCAGCGACUGGGGUGAAGUCGUAACAAGGUAACCGUAGGAGAACCUGCGGUUGGAUCACCUCCUUUCUA